UAUCUGGCCUAGCCAGCGCAAGGGCAGUCGAUAGCAGACCGUGGUGCAGAAAGCAGAGAAGGCAGAAGGCUGCUGCUCUUGCUCACUGUUAAGUGUAGGGCAUCAGGAAGCGGUCAGCGCUAGAGCGUUUCUCGGGCUGUGAUUGGUCAGACGCGACUCACGCGGUGCGCUAAUGAGAAUGCAUGGCAAAAUGCACGUUUUCAAACGGCAAGACUCCUCCUUCGAUAAGGAUGCGGAAAUUUCAUUCAUUGAUUAAAAACAUGAAUUUAUUUUAUAUCAAAGUUGUUAAAGACAUGCAGUUGACAUUAUCGGAAAUAUCAUUGGUGUAUCUUGUGUUUAAAGCUUUUUGGCUUCAAUAUUUUCGUGUUUUAUGCUGGAAACUGGUGCAUUGUGGAGUACGUGCGAAGCAUCACCUACUACCAGUGAUGCGUCAUAGAUGGACCAAGUGAUGCUGUGCGAUUUCUAGCAUCGACUAUGGCAGCCUCACUCAGGGAAUGACCUUGAGCAAGAUUACUACUGUAGUACGCCAUCUUAUGGCUGCUCAUAGGACUUCAAACCUAUGGACUGAUGCAGUAUAUGACUCCAUCACUCAGAGUACCUCUUUUAAUCAAUGCCUGGCCUGUUUGAUGUGGAUUCCACGUCUUAUAAUUAAAAUAACAGUGUUGGGACAUUCAAACACUUUGAUGUUUUUGUACCCUUUUCCUAAAUUGUACAUUUGCUUCACUUCAUCUUCAUGUGUAGAAUACACAGUAUAUCUAUUUCGA